AAUCUGAAUUGUGGGUAUCGUAGUUCUCUUGCCUUUCAGAGUUUCCGGUUGGGCAGCUUUGGAGCCACACGGUAGGACUUCCAGUCCCAGGUGGCCACACGCAAAGCAAAGCUUGCUGGAGGAGAUUACCUGGUCUUGGUAGAGUGACUUUUUUUCCUAGGAAGCCAGGAAACAGGGGUGCUUUUCAUGUUCACAUUCACUAAAAUUAUGUGCCUGAACUGAAGCAGCUGGGGCUCAUUUCCACAACUGUAAGUGCUGUUGUUAUUUUUCUUUAAUCAAUAAUUAUUUCGCCACUGAUACAUGCUACACACUAGGAAAUUGUGUAAUUUCCAGAAAAAUUGAAUAAAUUAAUUCUUUCUUCCUUCCCAAGGCUCGCUUGGAAAAAAGGGAAGGUGACUGAUACUCUGUGGGCUUGUUGGGAUAUGCUUUAGAAUAAACGACAAGACAGACUAGAAUAAUACCUUGAGACAUGGCUUAGGAUUAAACAAUUUAUAAGGAAAAGAGGAAGUCACACAACAUUAAACGGCAAAUGUAAAAAAUAAUUCACUCUGACUUGCUUCAAUUGUAGAAAUACUCUGAAAUUUUUAAAUAUUUCAAAAAGGCAGGCCAAGUAUGAUGAAAAGGUUGUGGACUCUGAAGUUAGAUAAACUUGGAUUUAGUGAUCUCCCUGCUUAUCUGCUUAUUAGAUGUGUGACCUUUGGCAAGAUGCUUCACCUUAUCAAGCCUCAGUCUCCUCAUCUAUAAAGUCGGGACAAAACCUAUCUCAUUGGAUUACUAGAAUUAAAUCAGCAGAGUGCCUUGUGCUAACUAAAUGGUUAGACAAAAACUGAUAGAGAGUGCACUUGGCUUCAUUCUAAUUAAGUUUCAAUUAAGCUUCAAAAACAGAUCAAAGUGGAUGUAGUGAAAAUUCUGGUGCCUCCCACUUAAUAAGGGCCCUCUAACUCCUAAAAAAAAAAAAAAUUUUUUUUUUUUUUUAACUCCUUGAAAAAGUCUAAGUCCAUAUUCAGUGGGUCCAAUUUUAGGAUUGAUAUUGGAUCACCUAAGUUAGUGGCUGAUAUUUUCCUAGCAAUAAUUACUAGGUGGUAAUGAUUAUGCGUUUCAGGUAUAUUCUUAGAGUCGUCUCCUCCUCAGAGGUGAUGGUUCAGCACUCCGCUGCUAAUCAAUAGGUCAUCAGUUAGAACUCACCAGGUGCUCCCUGGGAGAAAGAUGUGUCAGUCUGCUUCUGUAAAGAUUUGUUGUUGUUGUUGUUAAGUGCCCUCGAGUCGGUUCCGACUCAUAGCGACCAUAUGCACAACAGAACGAAACACUGCCCAGUCCUGCGCCAUCCUUACAAUCUUUGUUAUGCUUGAGCUCGUUGUUGCAGCCACUGUGUCAAUCCACCUUGUUAAGGGCCUUCCUCUUUUCCUCUGAUCCUGUGCUCUGCCAAGCAUGAUGUCUUUCUCCAGGGACUGAUCUCCCCCGACAACAUGUCCAAAGUAUGGAAGACGCAGUCUCGCCAUCCUUCCUUCUAAGGAGCGUUCUGACUGUACUUCUUCCAAGACAGAUUUGUUCGUUCUUUUGGCAGUCCAUGGUAUAUUCAAUACUCUUCACCAACACCACAAUUCAAAGGCAUCAGCUCUUCUUCGGUCUUCCUUAUUCAUUGUCCAGCUUUCACAUGCAUAUGAAGCGAUUUGAAAAAAUACCACGGCUUGGGUCAGGCACACCUUAGUCUUCAGGGUGACAUCUUUGCUCUUCAACACUUUGAAGAGAUCCUUUGCAGUACAUUUGCCUAAUGCAAUGUGUCUUUUGAUUUCUUGACUGCUGCUUCCAUGGCUGUUGAUUGUGGAUCCAAGUAAAAUGAAAUCCUUGACAACUUCAAUCUUUUCUCUGUUUAUCAUGAUGUUGCUCAUUGGUCCAGUUGUGAGGAUUUUUGUUUUCUUUAUGUUGAAGUGUAAUCCAUACUGAAGGCUAUGGUCUUUGAUCUUCAAAAGUAAGUGCUGCAACUCCUCUUCACUUUCAGCAAGCAAGGUUGUGUCAUCUGCAUAACACAGGUUGUUAAUGAGUCUUCCUCCAAUCCUGAUGCCCCAUUCUUCAUUAGUCCAGCUUCUCGUAUUAUUUGUUCAGCAUACAGAUUAAAUAGAUAUGGUGAAAGAAUACAACCCUGAUGCACACCUUUCCUGACUUUAAACCAAUCAGUAUCCCCUUGUUCUGUCCGAACAACUGCCUCUUGAUGUAUGUAAAGGUUCCUCAUGAGCACAAUUAAGUGUUCUGGAAUUCCCAUUCUUUGCAGUGUUAUCCAUAGUUUGUUAUGAUCCACACAGUCGAAUGCCUUUGCAUAGUCAAUAAAACACAGGAAAACAUCCUUCUGGUAUUCUCUGCUUUCAGGCAGGAUCCAUCUGACAUCAGCAAUGAUAUCCCUGGUUCCACGUCCUCUUCUGAAACCGGCCUGAAUUGCUGGCGGUUCCCUGUUGAUAUACUGCUGAAGUGAUUUUUGAAUGAUCUUCAGCAAAAUUUUGCUUUCGUGUGAUACUAAUGAUAUUGUUCUAUAAUUUCCACAUUUGGUUGGAUCAUCUUUCUUGGGAAUUGGCAUAAAUAUGGAUCUCUUCCAAUCAGUUGGCCAGGGAGCUGUCUUCCAUAUUUCUUGGCAUAGAUGAGUGAGCACCUCCAGCACUACAUCUGUUUGUUGAAACAUCUCAAUUGAUAUUCCAUCAAUUCCUGGAGCCUUGUUUUUUGCCAAUGCCUUCAGAGCAGCUUGGAUUUCUUCCUUCAGUACCAUCGGUUCCUGAACAUAUGCCACCUCUUGAAAUGGUUGAAUAUCGGCUAAUUCUUUUUGGUAUAAUGACUCUGUGUAUUCCUUCCAUCUUCUUUUGGUGCUUCCUGCAUCGUUUAAUAUUUUCCUCAUGGAAUCCUUCACUAUUCCAACUCGAGGCUUGAAUUUUUUCUUCAGUCCUUUCAGCUUGAGAAACGCUGAGCGCGUUCUUCCCUUUUGGUUUUCCAUCUCCAGCUCUUUGCACAUGUCAUUUUGUUUUCUUGUGAGGCCCUUUGAAAUCUUCUGUUCAGUUCUUUUACUUCAUCAAUUCUUCUUUUUGCUUUGGCUGCUUGACGCGCAAGAGCAAGUUUCAGAGUCUCCUCUGACAUCCAUCUUAGUCUUUUCUUUCUUUUCUGUCUUUUCAGUGACCUCUUGCUUUCUUCAUAGAUGAUGUCCUUGAUGUCAUUCCACAACACAUCUCGCCUUCAGUCACUAGUGUUCAAUGCAUCAAAUCUGUUCAUGAGAUGGUCUCUAAAUUCAGGUGGGAUAUACUCAAGGUCAUAUUUUGGCUCUUGUGGACUUGCUCUGAUUUUCUUCAGUUUCAGCUUGAACUUGUAUAUGAGCAAUUGAGGUCUGUUCCACAGUCGGCCCCUGGCUUUAUUCUGACUGAUGAGAUUGAGCUUUUCCAUCAUCUCUUUCCACAGAUGUAGUCAAUUUGAUUUCUGUAUGUUCCAUCUGGUGAGGUCCGUGUGUAUAGUCGCCAUUUAUGUUGGUGAAAGAAGGUAUUUGCAAUGAAGAAGUCGUUGGUCUUGCAAAAUUCUAUCAUUCCAUCUCCAGCAUUGUUUCUGUCACCAAGGCCAUAUUUUCCAACUACUGAUCCUUCUUUUUUGUUUCCAACUUUCACAUUCCAAUUGCCAGUAAUUAUCAAUUCAUCUUGAUUGCAUGUUCAGUCAAUUUCAGACUGCAGCAGCUGAUAAAAAUCUUCUAUUUCUUCAUCUUUGGCCCUAGAGGUUGGUGCAUAAAUUUGAAUAAUAGUCGUAUUAACUGGACUUCCCUGUAGGCGUAUGGAUAUUAUCCUAUCACUGACAGCGUUGUACUUCAGGAUAGAUCUUGAAACGUUCUUUUUGACGAUGAAUGCAACACCAUUCCUCUUCGAGUUGUCAUUCCCAGCAUAGUAGACUACAUGAUUCUCUGAUUCAAAAUGGCCAAUACCAUUCCAUUUGAGCUCACUAAUGCCUAGGGUAUCAAUGUUUAUGUGUUCCAUUUCAUUUUUGAUGAUUUCCAAUUUUCCUAGACUCAUACUUCGUACAUUCCAGGUUCUCAUUAUUAAUGGAUGUUUGCAGCUGUUUCUUCUCAUUUUGAGUUGUGCCACAUCAGCAAAUGAAGGUCCCGAAAGCUUUACUCCAUCCACGUCAUUAAGGUCAACUCUACUUUGAGGAGGCAGCUCUUCCCCAGUCAUCUUUUGAGUGCCUUCCAACCUUGGGGGCUCAUCUUCCAGCACUACAUCAGACAAUGUUCCGCUGCUAUUCAUAAGGCUUUCACGGCCUAAUGCUUUUCAGAAGCAGACUGCUGGGUCCUUCUUCUUAGUCAGUCUUUGUCUGGAAGCUCAGCUGAAACCUGUCCUCCAUGGGUGACCCUGCUGGUAUCUGAAUACCAGUGGCAUAGCUUCUAACAUCACAGCAACACAUAAGCUCCCACGGUAUGAAAAACUGACAGCCAUGUGGGGGAUGUAAAGAUUACAGCCUUGGAAACCCUGUGGGGAAGUUCUACUCUGUCCUGUAGGGUUGCUAUGAAUUGGAAUCAACUCAACAACAAUGAGUUUGGUUUUUGGUUUAACAUAAUUACAUGAUUAUCUUAAUUCACAAUGGUGAUUUUUAAAAUAUGGGUGGUGUAUUGAAUCUAGGACUUAUGAAGUCAUAAUUAUUAGUUACAACUUUUUUGAAAUCCUUUGUUACAGUUCAUUUAUAAAACUUUAAGUGCUUGUGCUAUUUAUUCCAGUUUUCUCAAUAUAUCCCAUGGCUAACUUAGAGAGAGAAUUUCUUUUUUCUGUCUUCAUCUUAGAGAUAAUAACAUCUAUUAAGACAGGGUCUGUUAAACACAACUUUCCCUUAAAAUAUAUUACUUAAUUUGAAGGACAAAAGAAAAUUUGAAAUUACAUUGAUUUUAAACUUGAAGUCAAGCCGUUAUUGAGUCUUGGAAAAUUCUGUCUUGAGAGACUUCAGAAUUAUGUCCCCACAUGUGCCUAACUGUCUGUUAAUACUAAGGAUCCCCUAUGAUAGUUGGUGAUACCUGACGGUGACAGCGACCAGUAUUUGUGAUGAGUGUGAAAAGUUUCCUAUGGGAUAUGCCACAUAAACAUAAGCCUGUUCAAGGAGAUACACCAGUGAGUUUAGGGUAGCAUUAAAAUGAAGAUAAGGCAGAGAAAAGUUGCAGAAGCACUUGAUAAUCACAGUAGACUGCAGAAGGUGCAGCAUUCCUUUGUUGAUGAAUACCAUCCAUAGUCUAGUUUCUUUAGGAAGUGUCAUUUGUUUAAUGGCUACUUAACGACCUUAUAAUGUUCCUGGUCAUGGAUUAGCCCCUGAGAUUAGAAGAGUGACUGAGGUAUCGUCCUCGCUGUGAUCCUGGUCGACUAGCGAAGAUAUGUACUGAUAAAUAGUAAACAGAGUAGGUGCUAAUUCACCAUUCACUCCCAGCAUUCACAGAGUCAGUGUUAGUUAAAUUCCCGCUCCUUACAAGGCAUGGCCCUCAGUAUCAGGGAAUAAAAAGAAGCCUUCAUAAACUGUCACUUGGAAAAAAAACAAAAACAGACUCGAAAGCUUGUAUCUGAGUCAAUCAAGGGGGAGUGGAGUCACUUCCCAAAACAUGGAAGAGACACCUAUCAGGAUGUCAAUGGAAGGGGAGGUCACAGUGUACCAAAUAGGAAGGGGAAACUGUGGGAUGUGGUGGGGCUUUGAUCCGGCCUGGAAGGAUGUGCAAAACUGAGAUUUGCAGAGCAAGGUGAAGGGAAUAUCUCAUGAGGAGCAAAGUUUUCCAAACUUUGCAUGUGUGAAGUGAUUUUAGGCAAUAUAUGGAGGGGGCAGUUAAUAACAUUGAAUUACAGAGUGAGAAAGUCAUCCUAAUUUAAUUUCAAUUCUUCAAGGCAAAAAUGUUUUAUUUUUGAUGUCACUUUAAAGUCUUCUAACACUUGUUUGGGAGCCUCUGGAUGGUGCAAACAUUAAUGUUCUUGGCUGCUAACCAAAAGUUUGGAGGUUCAAGUUCACUCUGAGGUGCCUCGGGAAAAAGUCCUGGCAAUCUGCUUCUGAAAAAUCAUCCAUUGAAAACCCUAUGGAGCACAGGUCUACUCUCACAUACAUGGAGUUGCCACGAGUUGGAGUCAACUUGACAGUAACUGCUGUUUGUGAGGGCAGUGGUGGUCGAGGGGUACAAUUCUUGCCUUCAGUGCAGGAGACCCAGCUUCCAUUGCUGACCAAUACAUCCCAUGUACAGCUACCACCUGUCUACCAGUUGAGGUUUGUGUUUUGCUAUGAUGCUAAACUGGGCUCAGCAGAGCUUCCAGACUAAAAUGGACUAGAAAAAAAGGCCUGGUGAUCUACUUCCAAAAAACACCCUGUGAAAAUCUUGUGGCUCCCCAGUCUGAUCCUCAGCCCAUCAUGGAGAUGAUGUAGGGACCUGGUGGCAUUUUACUCUGUUAUGCCCAGGGUCACCAUGAGUCAGGGGUCACCUCAAUGGCAGCUAACAACAGAACAAUGCUUAUUUAAUCUUUCUUUAUAGCGAAAAUAGAAUAGGCAACAGGCUCAAUGAUAUUAGCAGGCAAAAAGUAUUUAGUUAUAAUUCAAUAGCUAUUUUUAAGUAAGAUUUAUUUUUACAGUUAUUGCCUACUUAUUACUGUAGAUACUGUUUUGUUCAUUUAUGGUAUGGAUAGAAACUAUUCUUUAAAAGAUUUUUCUGUGCUAGAAAGAGAAUCAAUUGACAGAACAUGUAAGUAAAAAAAAAAAAAAUGGUUCAGAUGGUACUUGGCAAUGAAAAAAUCGCGAAGAGGUGAUAGAAUGCCUGAAGUUUGAGAAACACUGAGGUAGGGGGAAUGUCACAUAAAAAAAAAAUUAGGAAGUGAAAUUGAAUAGGCUGUUUUUUUAUGUUUAUAGAAAGGAGGGAUAUUGAGAUAGUCUACGGGUUUUUGGGCGAUGAUGCUGGAAUAAGGUUGAUCGCGAUUUGGACUUAAGCUUCUAGAUGGUGGAGAAUUCAAAAAGGUUUUGAGCCAGGGGCUGAUGUGUUGAAACUGUGCUUUAGAAAGAUAAUCCAAGGAAUGAUAAACAGGUGAGUUGGAGGGCAGGCAUCGGGAAGUACCGAGAGCCCUUUGGAUCCAGGUUUUGAUACUGGAAAUAUGAAUAAAUCAGGCAUGUUGGGAAUGAAGAUGGAAAAGAAGGGAGUGAUAAGGGAGUCAAUCGAGAAAUGAAAAUUAAAUAAUAAUGAUAGCCAAUUGAAGUGCCCUUGGAGUUUUAAGCUUGGGGGCCUAAUAAAAAAUCACAAUAAUGCUGAAGAAAUGAAUGGGAGCUAGUCUAUAUGGAGGAAAUGAUGCUUUGCAACUUCAGACAAUUUUAGGGUAAACCUUAAAGUGGAAAGAGACACUGCAUUGUUUAUCAUGUGGAAUUUGAAUUCUGGAGAGCCUUCAGGGUUGGCCAGAGAAAUGGAAGAGAGAGAGCCCUCCUUCAUUAAAAUAAAAUCUCCUACUGCCCCUCCUCCUGCCCCGCUUAAGGUUUAGGAGAGUCUUCAGCUGCUGGGGAUGGGAAGGUGAAGGAAGAGCAUAUGGACUCUUUCCUCCCAAGGUUUUAUUUUCUCUUGGGGUUUUCCCUUGAUUACUACAGCCACCCUUGUGUGUAGCGAUAUGCAGUUUCUUUUUAGGGUCUUUCUUCAGAAUAAACAAAAACAUCCUUAUCUCUAGUCAGGAGACCUGCGACUGGCUUUCUGUUCUAGGAACGGUAGAGGUAAAUUUUGUGUGUCACCUGUUUCUAUGGGGAAAGGCAUGUCAUUUGGAAAGGCAAAGUCCCUCCUUCAUUUUUUCUUGUCCUUCCUCAAUUAAAAAAUGUGAUGAAUUACUUUAUAUAAACCGUAAGUAUUUAUAUAGGCAUACAUAAUAAAUAUAUAAAGAUAAAUGGAUAUCACAAAAACUUCUGUACUUAUCUCCCAGCUUAAGAAAUAAAAUAUUAGAGAUUAAAAAAAAAGCACCCACCCAGCUCUGGCUCCCCUCUCUCCCACUUUCGGGAUUACCACCCUGUCUUUGCAGUUGAUCGGUCAAGUGUAUGUCUUUAUUCUUUUACCUACUUUUAUUCUUUCCACAGUUAUGUGACUAUAUCCUUAAACAGUAUAUGCCAUUGUUUUGAAUGUUUAAAGCCUUUAUAUAAACAUUAAAGUUUACUUUAUUCAUCUGCAACUUGGUUUUUCUCUCAAAAUUAUAUUUUUGAGAUUAAUCUGGGUUGAUUCUUGUAGCACAACUUGUUUAUUUUUAUAGAUGUAUGGUAUUUUGCCAUCACCAAGGACAAUGUAAUGGACGUUCUUACACAUGCCUCUUCAGGUACAAAGUAAGAGUUAGAACUCUAUUAGAGUGCAUCUAGAAAUAGACUUCCUGAGCCAUAGGCAUACAUAUCUUCAGCUUUAUUGGAUAUUGACAAAUUGCUCUCCAAAAUAUUUAUACCAAGUUAUGUUUCCAGCCACAGUGAAUGAGAUUUCCUCUUUCUCCACAUCCUCAAUGCACUUCUUUAUCUCAAACGUGUUAAGGAAAUGUUUACAGACAUAAGGAAAAGCCAGAAGCGGCAUCUGGGAGGCUCUUGGGUGUGUUGGUAACACUCCAGUCUCUAAAAUACAGUGCAAAAGUUGAUCCCAAAUAAACUUCCUUAUUUCUCAACCUUAGGGGAAGAGAUUGACUGACUUUUCCAUUACAGAGGCGUUUAUGUAUUUAGUAUUAAUGAUAAUAAUGAUUAAUAAUAAUAUUGAUAAGAACUGUUUACAUCAAUUAAGUGCUUAUUGUGUGUGAAAUUCUAUCUUAUGCACUUUAAUAGUAUUAUCUUAUUCAAUUAAUUUUUUGAGGAAGACAGUGUCGUUAGUCCACUUUACAGAUGAGGAAACUGAUGUGUGGAAAUAUUAAGUCAAUAGCUAGUAACCAGGGGUGGUGAAUUUUGUAUGCAGUCGAUCUAUUCCUAUAGCAACAGGUGGGGUGGUAUAGGUGAGAACAGAUGGGAAGAGAGUCACCAAAGUACCAUAGCCUGUAACUCCAAAAGUUUAGACUCUAGUUAAUUAAUAUUUAAGUAGCAUCAAUGAGCAUACUUAGAUAAUGGCAGGUAGCAAAUAAGUGCUAUAUUCACACUGUGGAGAAUUCAAUUUUAUCUGGAAGGAGUAUAAACAGAUUCUUGCCAGUGACCAAACCAGAGUCUUAGAGACUGAAGAGAGAAUGUUAAAGAGGAAAAAAAUGGAAAAUAGUUUUUUAGAAAAUAAAGAGAGGUGGAAAAGCACAAGAUAUUGUUAAGAAAAUGAAUUCAUUUAUCUGAUCAUUAAUUCAACCAAUAAUUUCUUAAACAUCUACUAUGUGUGAGACACUGGGCUAAGUUCUGAGAUUCACAGUGACUGAUGUGCUAGGAAGUGUAGUAUAUGGGGAAAUUGGUGCAAAAACAUGAAAAGAAUAAGACUGAAAAGAUAGGUCACCUCUGAUUACCAAAGAUUUUGAAUAUCAGCCUAAGGGAUGUGCACUUUAUUCCGAUGGUGGGAGUCAGUGUAAAUCCCUGUGAAGUAAUGGUUAUCAUUCAUUCAGUAAGUACUUAUUAUGUAAACUUUUACUGAACCUCUGUUUUACUUAGUGUUUAGGAUACAGUGAUCAAAAAGUUUAUAGUACAAUGCAGGUGACAAAUAAGUCUGUAAAUUUUAUAAUACAAUUUGUGAAUAAAAGCAGAGGUUUGCAUAGUACAGAGUUGCCUAACCUAGGCUGGAGAAGUGGGGUGAGGAGAGGGAGGACCAGUCUGAAAUAUUUUCCAAGAUCUUUUUUGGGGUAAACAAGAUUGUUUGAAGAAAUUUGACAACUUAUCUUAAUCUCUAAAAAAAAAAAUUUUUUUUUCUGAUUUCAAAAGACUUACACGUUCACCAGAGAAAAUUUGAGAACUACAAUCAUACCUAGCAAGGAUGAUCUGUGUGUAUAUCCUGUUAGUCUUCUAUGCCUAUAAUAGAUGCUAAGAAUGAAUAAUUUACAAAAAACAGUUAUAUGACCUUUUUAAUUUCACUUAUCAAUAUAAUAUACAUUUUCCAUAUCAUUAUACUAUUCAUCUAUACAACAACUUUAAAUUUCUUAUUUCUAUGUGAGGUAAUAUCACCUAUCCUCUAUUGUUGGAGAUAUCUGCUUCUUCCGAUUUUUGUGUUGUUAUGAAUUGUUCCAUGCUAAAUGUGAUUCUACAAAAAUCUUAGAUUAUAGCUGUUUACUUUCUAAGAUAAAUUUCUAGAAUUUGUACUUUAGAUCAUAGUACCCAUGAACACUCCUGAACACAUUAGACAAGAGAAGGAAAGCCCUUAUAGAAUUUUUAACAAGAGAUUGAAUUGACAAAACUUGCAUUUUAGAAAGGUCACUCUGAAAAGCUUUUGAGGGGAAAGUAGAUAAAAUCAGAGGCAGAGGACCAGGUAGGAUUUAUUGCAGAAAUCUGGGUGAACGCAGAAUAGAGUCUACACAAAAGAAGUGGCAUCAGUGACAGGGUAGGGAGAUUUUAGAGAUAUUAAUUUAGUAGCAAUUAGUAGAUUAAGGGCAAGGUGUGAAUUACCUUUCAGUAGGUAAGUGGGUGGGUGGCAUUGUCCUCGUUCCCUUAGGUAGGGAAGACAGGAGAAACAGGUUUAGGAGGAAAGAUAUCCUAAGUUCAUGUCUGGUGCAUGUUGACACGUCUGUGGCCAUCCAUACGGAGAUAUUGUUUAAGCAGUUGCUCAGAUCUCUCUGUCAGGAGUGAAAAUAGGCAAGAGAUAGAUUUGGGGGUCAUUAAUCCUUUAGGUCAUUAAUUGUUGGUUGCAGCCCUAGGUGUAGAUGGAGUCUUCCAGGGGUAUUAAGGACUGCAGCAUGAGAAGGGUGCGGGCUCAGGGUUGUACCCUCUGGGGUAGUAACAUUAAGGUUUAAGUAGAAGAAAUGGCCACAGUGGAGACUAAGAAUGAGAGGUCACAGAAAUAGGAGGAAAUCAUUAGAGGAGAUAGUGAAGACAAAGAAGAAAUUUUCAAGAAAAGAGUAGUUAUCAGUGUUACAUGCCACUGCAGCAUGAAGUAAGAAUAAAAGGCGUUCUUGAAUUUCACUGGAAGCCUUAUCAAGAACAGUUUCAGUAGAAUGGUGGGAACGGACACCAGAUUGCCAUAAUUAGACCUGUGUUUCAGAAAGAUGAGUCUAGCAGUUUUCUGUGGGGAGAAUGGCUGAGGAAAGGAAGAGACCAGCAAGUGGAAGACCAUGCAAUGGAGUGGGCACUGGGGCUCCAAAAACCCAAACCAAACCCGUUGCAGUCAAGUCGAUUCCAAUUCAUAGCAAUCCUGUAGGACAGAGUAAAAUUCCCCCAUAAGGUUUCCAAGGAGCUGCUGGUGGAUUCAAACUGUUGAUAUUUUGGUUGACAGCCAAGCUCUGAACCACUGCACCAUUAGGCCUCCAGAUAGGAGGUAAUAAGUCCUGAACCAAGGCAGUUAUAGUGGCAGUGGAUAUAGAGAGACUGUGGCAGUAGAAUUUAACAAGUAGAUGGAUAUGGUAUAUGAAGAAGGAGAUGGAUUUCAAGAAGAUUCUGAGAUUUUAAUCUAAAAUGAUUGGGAAAAUGGUGAAACCAUCAAUGAACACAGAAUUCAGAAAAAUAAAUACUUUUUGUUGAUGGAGAUACUGUUUUUGUUUCCUAAGGCACUAAGAAAUAGAAAAUACCACAAGUGGUGGUUUUAAAGAACCAAAAUUUAUUUUCUCACAGUUCAGGAGGCUAGAAAUCCAAAUUCAGAGUGUGGUUCUAGUGGGGGGUCCUUCUUUGUCUAUUUCAGCUUCUAGUAGCUAGCCAUCCUUGGUGUUCUUGGGUUUGUAGAUUCAUCUGCCUUCAUCGGCAUCAAAUAGGGUCUGUCUUUCCCCUAUGUUUGCUUAAUGUUCUGUGUAAUCUGCUUUUUAUAACUUAGAAAUGAUUAGGCUUAGGGCACAUCCUACAACUGAUAUGGUCUCAUUAACAUAAAAAAGAAUGCUCUAUUCCCAAAUGAAACUACAUCCACAAGUAUAGGGGUUAGGAUUCUAAUUACUAUUUUGGGGCGGGGGGAACACAAUUCAACCCAUAACAGACAGGGAAGGAAAGAUAAGUUCUCCCUUGGAUAUGUUGAUUUGAGGCGUAUAUGAAGCUGUACAAGGUAUGGGUGGCAUUCAUACGAGGACAUCGUGCAGGUGUCUGUUACGGUUCUUCUGCUCAGGAGAGAGAUCAUGGUGAGAGGCACAAAGCAGCCGUGGUACAAAUAGAAUUUGCAAUCAUGGGAAAGGGUGGAAUAGCUCAAGGAGAUUACUGAGAGUGAGAAGAAACAGAAAACCUUGGGAAAUGGUUAAAUAAACAGAUAACAGAGGCAGAACCACUGAAGAAGAGAGAGAAGGGAUGAUCAAAGCAAUAACAGGAAAACCACUGGAGUAUUAAUUUAAGAAAGCAGAGGAAAACAGAGUUUCAGGAGGCUGGGUGAUGGCCAAAGCAGACACCGCAGGCAGGGCAAGCAGGAAGAGAACCACGGAAGGCCUUGGGUUGGGCUUCUUCCAACUCUUGCUUUGCUUAGGAAAUGUAUUUUUAGAAUCUGUCGUAAUACUGUGAUUUACGUUGUCUUCUUAUUUUUUUUCAAUUUCUACAUUGUUUUGUAUGGAAUGAAAUAAUUAACUUUAUUUUCAUUCUACAACAUAGCUUUCAAUCUCUCCUUCUUCUGACUCAUGGAAAUUUACCAGGACUACAGUUUUAUGAAGAACCCUGGUGGCGCAAUGGUUAAGAGCUUGGCUGCUAACCAAGAGGUUGGCAAUUCAAAUCCACCAGCUGCUCCUUAAAAACCCUAUGGAGCAGCUCUACUCUGUCCUAUAGGGUGGCUGUGAGUCAGAAUUGACUCGAUGGCAUACAACAAAAGAGCUUUAUAAGAAUUUAUUUUCACACCCUUUUUUUCCAUUCUAAAGGAAACAAAUUGUGUUAAUUUCAAAGAAGAUAUUGAUUCAUAUAUUAAACUUUUAUUUGGGGAGGGGUGAAACUUGGCUUUUGAUAUUCAUAUGGAGUUCUGAUGGUGCAGUGGUUAAGAACUUGGCUGAUAACCAAAAUUCCUGUAGUUUGAAUCCAUCAGCUGCUCCUUGGAAACCAUAUGGAGAAAUUCUACUCUGUCCUGUAGGGUCGCUAUGAGUCGGAAUCAACUUGACAGCAAUGGAUUUGGCUAACAUUAACAGAGCUGCAAUGACAAGAUGUUGGUCACUGAAGGUCAAGGAGCCAUCGAUGUCAUGGUUUAAAGCCUCCUGCAGGCCGUGCUGGCCUUCAUGUGUAGCCCUUUGCUGCUGACCCUGCUCCUGCUGACCCUUGAGGAUGGUGCUCCACAACUGGAUGCCCUGCUCUCUCAGCAGCUUGUGGGGCAGGCUGAGGGAGUGCCCCAGCAGCCUGGAGGACCUGGAGAUGUAUUCGGUAUCCAGAGGCAGUUUUCGAGGGACACUUAUCUGAGGAGGAGAGUGAGGGGAUGACUCAGUCUACUUCAGAGGAAGACUUGGAGACAGUGGACCCCUCAGAAGAUAACUAAACAGUCUCUCUUUUAUACUUAUAAUAAAGCAUUCUAUUUCCCUAAAAAAGAAAAUUAUUUUGCGUAGUGACAGGAUACUAAAAUGGAAAAUUUGGCUAAGAUUAUAAGAUGGUUGCAUUCUUUCUUCUUACCACUCCCCAAGUCCACCUACCUCUACUUCUUCCUCUACCCCACUCAUAUGCCUUGGUCUUAUAAACUGCUUCCUUGCUUCCUCAAUGAUCUAUGCUCAUUCAUGCUUUCACACUGUGUGCAUUGUAUUCCUUUUAGUGGAAGCACUAUUCAUCGUUCUUCCUUUCCCUGUAAAGUCUUGUGUGGAGUUGGCAUUUGAACUUAGAUAGCUUUACCUUUAGAAACCAUUUCAUAAAUACUGCAUGAUACCUCGGGGCAGCCAGGCUCAAGGGUGUCUCCUGGCUUCUGGGCUCUUAUAUUUCAUGAAAAAUGUUACUACGUUCAUCCCUCUCUUUUGUUAUAGCAGCAUGCUCUGCCAUCCUUCCUCUGGGUCUGACCACCACUCGUCAAGGUUUUGUUUAUAUUUGAUUCAUCAAUUCAGGUGCCAUUAUGUUGCUUCUCUCCAUUUAGAAUUAAAAAAAAAAAAAGAAGAAAACUUAAACAUAAUGACAGAAAUCCAUCUUGCUAAAUAAUACCCAGUCAUCUUAGAAGACUUGAAUAAAGGGAGCUGCGCAACUAUGUGGGCAGGUUUAGGUGGACAUUUUCCUGGAUGCCAAGUGAUGUUAAAAAUAUUUAACAAUGGGUAUGGCAUGGACACUGACCCAUUAGAAUGGACAUCUGACCAAUCGUAACACAUGCUGGCUAGCAUGUCAUACUAAAUACUCAUUCUGCCAGUAUUGCCUGGCUCUUAUAAUCCUCCAAUUUCUCCCAUUUUCUAGGCCAGAAUGGUGAGGGGUUUCUUAGAACGCUAACUGUGAAGAGUGGGCAUGUUUCUCUGGGCUCAAGCAAAAAGGGAAUUAGGUACUGAUGGCUGAGUGCAUUGCUUCAGCUUCCCUUUUACAGAAUUACAUCAUUUAUGGAAUUACUAUCUCUCAUACUGUUGGCGGUUUCCUAAGGUUGAAAUUCCCUGUGAUUAACCUAUACACUCUUGCCUGUUGCAAUUUUACAACAAUUUACUUCUCUUCCAGGAUUUGUCUUUACAUCCAGCAAGCUGGUUGAAAAUCUUGAUAUUAGAGGUCUCUCAGUAACCUCUUUUUUCCUUAGAUGUCGUGAUGUGUUUUCUUUGGUAUUUAUUAUUAUUGUUUUUAAAUAUAACAGAAUAGAAUUUGUUAACUGAACAGAGAUUUUUGUUUAUCUGUAGCUGUUCACUUUUAAUAACAUUUUUUCUUAGUAACCUUUCAAAUGUGCAUACAACAAUAAAGAAAACCAUCUAUUAUACUAUUCAGUAUAUAUGUAUGCAUACUAUAUAAAUACACAUACUAUAUAAACCGGAUAGUAUAUUGAAUGCUGGCACUUGUUUUCCUUUAUUCUCAGUCUUGCUGAUCACAUAGGAUUUGGCUAACUCAACAGUGCUAUAAGAAUCUGUUUACAAUGCCUUUUUUUCUUUAUAAAGCAUGUAUACCUCACUAAUUUCUUAUUAAUUGGUAUUAUAAGACAUUUAAGUAAUGUAUUAUUAUUUUUAAUCAAAAAAGGCAGUAAGAACUGAAAGUGAACCCUGUAGUAACAUUUUUGAAUGACAUUUAAUAUCCUCUCUUACUUCUGUGAAUUCCACUUCAUUUUAUUUCAGCAUUUGAAUCUCCUGUUAAUGAGUGUGCUUCCUAUUUAAUUUGAAUAAUUUAACUGAUUUUCUCAUUCUAGUCUUUAUUUCAGAGCAUGGCUUUGAAGUGAUUGCCUCCUAAUGACUAUGUGGUGAUCUCCCUGGGCUUGUCUGAGGGUGAGGGUGGGGGAGGGUGCUGUUGAGCAAGGUAAGGCGCACCCUUCACUGUGGCUCGUGGGUUGAGCUGCUGCCCCAGACAUACACCACACACUCCUGGGUCACUUCUCAGUGUCAUCCUCCUUUUGCCUCAGAUAGGCUUUGGCUGGGAGGGCGCUUACCUUCUCAAUGAGUCUGGAUAGAAAAAAGUCAUUUCUUGACUACUGUUUAUCUGUGCACCAUAUUUCCACCUUAGUAGCUAAAGAUUUUUCCUUCUAGUCACAGUAUCCUUUCAUAAGCCUUGUACGAGCCUCUUAAUCUGUCUGUGUCUCAAUUUCUUAUCUGCAAAUGGAGCUAAUAACCUUGGUUACUUUUCUCCUCAGAUACUCCGUCCAGAGGAUUUAAUAAGCUGACACUCAAAGGCACAAGUGUCUAAGAUGAUAGGGCCCUCCAUAAAAUCAAAUUAUUGUUAUUAUCAUCCUCCCUUUGUCCUGCCAGCAGAAUAAUAACACCCACAUGGGAUCCUGUAUUUAUAGAGGGCUUUGUAUUUUUCACGGUUUUUUGUGUUUCAUAAUUUACACUAGCCUCUCUCUGCACAGUCUCAGCAUCAUGCUUCCAUGGAUUAAGGAUUUGUUCAGCCUCUUCUGUAAAUCUCUCUUUUCCAUUAGCUCUUCAUUUUUCUGCCAGUUCAGAUUAUUAUUUUUUAGUUCCAUUUUGUCUAAGGCUUGAAAGAUUCUCCCUAUAUCAAGGCUGCUUGUGGUGUAUGGGGUUUGGAUAAUGUAUAUGUAAUUUGGCUUUUAAAUUGGUAACUCUCAUUAAAAAAAAAAAAAAAAAAAAAA